CUUUCUUUUCUAUAACUGUAUGUAAUUUCUGUUUUGAGCUAUCAUCCUAUCUGGUGGUAAGUCAAAACAGAGCUAAAACAGAGCAUGUCCAUUUGGUCAUGUCUGCUUUUCCCAAGAGGUGCUUCUAAGUGUUAAGUGAGAGUCGAUAGUGCAUUUGAUCUAUGAGUUUAUGUCCCUGAGCUGGAAUCUGUUGAGAUGUCCAGUGGUUCUUUGGGCCCUCAAUUGCCUGCCCACUCAGGUUUCUAAAUUAUUCUCCAUUCAUAUCUGAAAUCUCCUUUAGAGCCUGUGGGUUUCAUUCCUACAUCUGUGCCAGUUUUGAUCUCUCAGGAAUGAUUCAGCAAGUUCAGUGGUGCACUGAGUUACAGGCAGGAAACUGGGAGGCUCUCUAAAGGCAUACUUGCCUACACAUAACAGGCCAUCCUUUCUUCUCAUACGUCUCCCUAGCUUCCUGGGCACAAGGAACAUCAUUCCUUCUCAUGCAUGGUCUGCAGUGAUGGGAACUGAAUGCACCAGCAGCAGCCAUAUGAGCUUGGAGGCAGAUCCUGCUCCAAUUGAGACUCAGCUGAGACUGCAGCCCCAGUUGACACCUUGAUUGCAGCUUCAUAAGAUCCUGAAUCAGGGAAUCCAUCUCAGCUGUGCCUAGACUCCUAACCCGUAGAAAUGCGAAAGGAAGAGCAAGCUACUCUCACCUGGGAGGUCCAGCUGGUGAAGACCACAAGAGACUGUCUCCAGUGGAAAGAGGCAUCAUCUAUGAACAAGAAUACAGGCCCUCACCAGACACCAAAUCUGCUGGUUUCUUGAUCUUGGACUUCCCAACCUCUGGAGCUGUGAGGAAUAAAUUUCUGUU
rnacentral:lncRNA from 10 species